UGUCGCUCCAUUUUUACAGACUCAAAAGUAAUUGAACAGUUGACUAAUAAGCAGUUUAAUGGCCAGAUGUGGCCUGUUUCCUCAUUAGAUAAAAGGUGUGGAGUUGAUUGGUGUUGAAUUUGAAUUUGGUAGCUGUUCAUGGGAAUUCUCAAUAUGCGGACCAAAGAGGUGUUGAUGCAAGUGAAGGAGGCCAUCAUUAGGCUGAAAAAACAAAGCACGCCUAUCAGAGAGAUAGCAGAAAAUUUAGGAAUGGCCAAAUCAACAAUUUGGUACCUUCUUAUAAAGAAGGAAUUCACUGGCGAGCUCAGCAACACCACAGUGGACAACUAAAGUGGAUGAUCGCAGAAUUCUUUCCUUGUUAAAAAAAAAAAAAACCCUCACAACAUCAAGCCAAAUCAGGAAUACUCUGGAGGAGGUAGGUGUUUCAUUGUCAAAGUCUACAAUCAAGAUAUACUUUCAUGAAUGUAAAUACAGACGGUUUACCUCAAGAUGCAAACCACUGGUAACACUCAAGAACAGAACGGCCAGAAUAGACUUUGCUAGAAGGCCUCUAAAAAAGCCUGACCAGUACUGAUGCAAGAUUAACUUGUACCAGAAUGAUGGGAUGAGAAGAGUAUGGAGAAGAAAAGGAAGGGCUCAUGAUCCAAAGCACACCGCAGCAUCUGUCAAACAUGGUGGAGACAGUGUUAUGGAAUUGGGCAUGUAUGGCUGCCAAAGGAACUGGCUCACUAAUGUUUAUUGAUGAUAUGACUGCUGAUAGAAGUAGCAUGGCUAUCUGCUGCUGUUGCUCUCAGAUUCGAGAAUUCAACAGUGCUGUGAUAUAAUGAUAAAUAGGUUUGUAAUAGAUAAUGACGACCUUUCAUUUCAAAGUGUUUAACUGAAUGGCAUCUGAUCUGAAUAAUAUCUGUCUUUACUGACUGAUAGCUGUCUGAUGAUGAUCCAACCAUAGAUGUAUUCGUCCCUAUUGAACCAUUUCUGACUGUGUCAAAGGAGCAGUGCAAAGUUGGUGUAGUGACAUAUCACUCUGCUCAACAGUUUACAAAGAGUGAUUCAAGCAAUGGGUUGAGAUCUAAAGUCAUUCGUGUUGAAACUGUUGGACAUGAGCUUAAGGACUUAUCGAAUCGUCUUGUUAUCAAUUUUCCAGUAAACAUUAGUGAAGUAAUCCUUGAAAACCACACGCUGUCAUGCCAGUUCUAUAAUGAAACAGGUAUGUAGGAUUUUGUCAAGUGUCAUUACUCACUAUGGAGGUUAAUGCUAACUCUUCACAGAAAGUCCUCUUUAGCCUACAUUUAGACUGGUAGGUUAUUUAUAUAACUUAUUUAACCAAGAGAGUAAACUUGGCCAUGCUCUCAGGG